rnacentral:tRNA from 1 species
GCGGGAGCAUCGCGGCGGACUCAAAAUCCGCUGGGGCUUAGCUCCCGUGUGGGUUCGACUCCCACCUUCGGCA